rnacentral:rRNA from 1 species
GACGAACGCUGGCGGCGUGCUUAACACAUGCAAGUCGAACGGAAAGGCCCUGCUUUUGUGGGGUGCUCGAGUGGCGAACGGGUGAGUAACACGUGAGUAACCUGCCCUUGACUUUGGGAUAACUUCAGGAAACUGGGGCUAAUACCGGAUAGGAGCUCCUGCUGCAUGGUGGGGGUUGGAAAGUUUCGGCGGUUGGGGAUGGACUCGCGGCUUAUCAGCUUGUUGGUGGGGUAGUGGCUUACCAAGGCUUUGACGGGUAGCCGGCCUGAGAGGGUGACCGGCCACAUUGGGACUGAGAUACCGCCCAGACUCCUACGGGAGGCAGCAGGGGGGGAUAUUGCACCAUGGGCGGAAGCCUGAUGCAGGAACGCCGCGUGCGGGAUGACGGCCUUCGGGUUGUAAACCGCUUUCGCCUGUGACGAAGCGUGAGUGACGGUAAUGGGUAAAGAAGCACCGGCUAACUACGUG